GAUGAACGCUGGCGGCGUGCUUAACACAUGCAAGUCGAACGAUGAAGCCCAGCUUGCUGGGUGGAUUAGUGGCGAACGGGUGAGUAACACGUGAGUAACCUGCCCUUGACUCUGGGAUAAGCCCGGGAAACUGGGUCUAAUACCGGAUAGGAGCGCCUGUCGCAUGACGGGUGUUGGAAAGAUUUUUCGGUCAUGGAUGGACUCGCGGCCUAUCAGCUUGUUGGUGAGGUAAUGGCUCACCAAGGCGACGACGGGUAGCCGGCCUGAGAGGGUGACCGGCCACACUGGGACUGAGACACGGCCCAGACUCCUACGGGAGGCAGCAGUGGGGAAUAUUGCACAAUGGGCGGAAGCCCUGAUGCAGCGACGCCGCGUGAGGGAUGACGGCCUUCGGGUUGUAAACCUCUUUUCAGUAGGGAAGAA
rnacentral:rRNA from 1 species